rnacentral:rRNA from 1 species
UACGGAGGAUCCGAGCGUUAUCCGGAUUUAUUGGGUUUAAAGGGUGCGUAGGUGGUUUAUUAAGUCAGCGGUGAAAGUUUGUGGCUCAACCAUAAAAUUGCCGUUGAAACUGGUUGACUUGAGUAUAUUUGAGGUAGGCGGAAUGCGUGGUGUAGCGGUGAAAUGCAUAGAUAUCACGCAGAACUCCAAUUGCGAAGGCAGCUUACUAAACUAUAACUGACACUGAAGCACGAAAGCGUGGGGAUCAAACAGG